rnacentral:lncRNA from 1 species
CCCGCCCCCGCGCUUGCGCGCUGUCUGCUCCCCCCACACUUCUCACCGCAAGGGGGCGCUGCCGCGAGGAGUGGUGACGUCAUUCACCGGCGACAGCCCGCUGUUAGACAUGGCGGUGGUAGCAGCAUCCCCCACUUCUUCCUUUCUGUUUCCUGCACUGGAUGCCUCGGCCCUCAAGCUUUCAGUUCCCCUGUCUGAUGGUCGGGACAGACACUCGAUGCUGCAGGGAGCAGGCAGGUACGUUCGCUGGCUGGCUCUGGAGGGGUUUUUCCAUUCUACCACAGUUAGUCAUACUCUGCUUAGUCAAGUAGCUUCAGUGCCUCGUUUCCUCAUUGGCCCUCAUGAGUGAGUCCCUCAGGGCUGAGAGCUGCAGCCUGGAGACGCAGCAGGGCCACUUCCUGUGCUGCAGGUAACGAGGCAGUGCUGUAGUGAGGCCAUGCGCUCUGAAGCUGUGCUCCAGUUGUUGCAGUGUCACUCUUUGCUCUGCCUGCCCUGUUGAUGGGUGCAGUGAGCACAGAUGGCCUCCCCUCAGCCCUUCUCCAGCAAGACUUACUCACCACACACUGCAGGUCUCUCAUUGCCACGAUCCUCCCAGCAUAGCGUGGCCAUUCCUGCAGCCCUGGAUCUUCAGGGCCUCCCCCUGUACCGCAGGGAGGACAUUAGGGGUUGUGGACACAGCAGGGCAGUGCUCGCUGUCUGCUGGGGUUUUGCUUCCUCCCUUACCAGUUGACACUUCUGCCACAGGGCUUUAAGUCCCGGUUGAAAGGAGUGCUACUUCUGAUGGCUUCAGCCCUGUCUUGUGGUUUCUGCUGGGCCCCAGAGAGCUGCCCACAACCGCCACUCGGUUCUUUGCGCCUCAUGCUGAAGCCAUGAAGCUGCCUCUGAAGCUGCGUUGGAAGAAAUCUGAGCCCACGGGUGAUGCUCUGCUGGUUCUGCUUGCUGAGGGCUUGCGGGUCCCUCUACCGAUGCCAACCAAGCCUGUCACACUGCCCCAGGUUGGUAGCACUGCGGUGACACUGCUGCUUUGAGCAGCAAAUGGGAUGUACACCAAAGACAAGUGUGAAAGCCACCUGAGUGGGGCUGCGGGGCAAUGAAACCUGCUUGUUUCUGUGAUUAAUGCAUCUCUCUGUGCUUGAUCUUCAGGUGAAAUUGUGCUGAGUGCCCAGCAUGAAGGGUGUGAGCCCGCAGCAGCCGGGAACCCUGAGGAAACGGUCAGUGAGCAGCUUCAACUGGAGGUCCCCAACUCGCCUGUGUGCUUUCGCACCGGGCUCUGCCGUGCGGUGAGGCACUGCUCAGUGCAGGAUGUGCCCACAAGCAGUUUCCUGAGGAAGAGGAGAGGAUUUGGGUGGAUUUCCCCGCCCUUGGAACAGGCCUCAGCAGUGGGGUGCCUGCUCUCCGGAGCACCCAGUGCUAAUGAUGAGGAGUGGUGACUGUGUACUGAUAUUUUGGGGGGUACAGUUGUUUAUAUUUACUGCUGUACAAGUGAAUAUCACGUCAAUAAAUACAAAUUUCUGCUAUAUUCA